CCCCGGAUCCUCCUCCACUGCCACUGACCAAGCGCUGGAGUUGCAGGAUUUCGGAGGAUGAGAACUAAAUCUUCCUUCGGAGGCUGCCUCCACUCUCCUUCCCCUCCAACUUUUUCUGGUCAGCGACCUCCUGACAAACAUGCAGGAGGACCCCUCUCACCAUGUUUUACUAACCAAUGUGUGAGUUUCUCUCCCCAGAAGCCUCCUGCCCUACCUAAGAGGGCUGCUGGACCUCCUGCUGGCCAGUCUCCAUUUAAGAAGGUUCGCAAAUCUUCCAUUUCAUUAAAUUUACCUAGUUUUAUUUUCAACAUUGUAGCUACGUGUGAUUUUCUGGAUGUGAUCUGAUCAGAUUUUAUUUGAAUCAGUCUGUUGUGAUUAUGUCUGAUCAGAUCUAUUCCAACUUUAUUUGAAUGGAUUUUCUUGGAUUGUAUUUUGUGUGAUUCUAUCGGAGCUCGGUUCUUGACGGUGGAACUCUGGUCAGGGUUUCCUGUUAGAGGUGUGGGUGGAUCUGGGAGGGAUUGUGGGAUACCUCCAGUGGUCCCCCCCUUACAGUGAAGCUCCACUCUGUCAGAAGGUGAACAGGAUGCAGACGGCAUGUUACACAGGAGUAACAUGUAUGUCUGUAUCCCACCCUGGACCCACAGUGGAGUCCACAGUGACAAGAUCACAGUUCAGGAGAGUCACACUGGGAUUUAAAAGGGGGGUCAAAUGUCUUAUUUAAGAUAAUAAAUGUAGUGUGAGGGUGAAGGUCUCGCUGCCAGAGGGAAGUUUCCAGAAAAAAAGGUACGUACGGAUCCCUGUGAAUGCUGCUGUAUGAAAAGGUGAGUUUGGGAUUUUGAUUUUGCAUUCGUAUAUCUAAUAUUUUGAAAUCUCAACAAUAGUAACACUUGGAGAAGAUUCUGCUGCGUUUUUCUUUUUGAUUUCUUUCAGACUGAUGACCCCGGGACCCAAGACCAAGACAAGGAUGAACCCAAAAGACGACUUGAAGACGAGUGACCGAGUCCCAACAGAGAUGAAGCCAGAGAUGACGACCAGCCUGUGAGGAGAAAAAAGAACAACUUUACUGAGACUUUACUGGAUGCACUGGUGCUUCAAUGACACCAAGCAGAUUCAGACAGGAUGGAACAGAGAUGAUGGGAGGCAGAUCCAGGACCAGUGCAUGACCAUCGCAAGACCAUUCAGUUAACACAAGAGCUCUCUCUCCAAGAUCCUCAAUCUAAUGAAAGAUCAGAUCAACAAACCAGACAAGGAACAGCCCAGAAGGAAGUCGGAGCACCCAGAGGAAACCCACACAGUCGCAGAGAGAACAUGAACAGAAAGAACCAGCUGAGCAGCAGAAGAUAAGGAGAUGGUUGGAGGAGCCCCAGGACAGCAGAACCAGGCCAGGAAGAUGAAGAAGAUGAAGACCAGCCCCAAAUGGACAAGAAGAAGAAGAAGAAGAGCAGCUCCAGAUUUCUCCAAUGGUUUCUCUGGAUCUGGAGCUGCAUGUUUCUUAUCUGCUGUUAUUGGCCUCAGCGACCUCCACAGUCUUCAUGUUCUCUUCCUCCUCUCUACCCUCAACCCAACCACAGCUGUUUUUUUUUUACUUCCCAGAUGGGAGGUUUUUUUUUUCCUCACCCCAAUUGGAGGUUUUUUUUUGUACUUCCCAACAACAGGAAGUUUUUUUUUCCUCCACACUGGUACCACAUGCUUGACUUGAUCAUACUGCAAAAAGAGAAAUCUUCAAAUAAAAAACAAAACAACACAAUAGAACUGUAUCUUUUUGUUUAAAAGUGUAACAUAAUGAACCCUUCCAUUUAUGCUUAUUUUUGGAGAAUGUGUUUUAUGUUUAGAAAAUUAUAUUAGUCUGAAAAACAUGGUUUCAAACCACAGGUUUCUCAAAAACACCUGGACUCCAUCUUAAAACUACACAGCAUUUGAACAUACUGCUGGGUGUGUAAUAACUUGGAGUAAAUACACAAGAUAGUAAAUGUUUGACAGUAAAAUUAGACUUUUUUUUGCUGCACAUUAAGGACUAAAAAUGGUAAAUAAUUUCUGUAUAACUUGGUGUCAGAUGUUUAAGAAACAAGAUGGCGAUUGGGCCACGUUUCAUAAAAUGCUCCAAAUAUCA